rnacentral:tRNA from 1 species
UCCGGAGUAGCUCAGUUGGGAGAGCGUUAGACUGAAGAUCUAAAUGUCCCCGGUUCGAUCCCGGGUUCCGGCA